GACGAACGCUGGCGGCGUGCCUAAUACAUGCAAGUAGAACGCUGAAGGAGGAGCUUGCUUCUCUGGAUGAGUUGCGAACGGGUGAGUAACGCGUAGGUAACCUGCCUGGUAGCGGGGGAUAACUAUUGGAAACGAUAGCUAAUACCGCAUAAGAGUAGAUGUUGCAUGACAUUUACUUAAAAGGUGCAAUUGCAUCACUACCAGAUGGACCUGCGUUGUAUUAGCUAGUUGGUGAGGUAACGGCUCACCAAGGCAACGAUACAUAGCCGACCUGAGAGGGUGAUCGGCCACACUGAGACUGAGACACGGCCCAGACUCCUACGGGAGGCAGCAGUAGGGAAUCUUCGGCAAUGGACGGAAGUCUGACCGAGCAACGCCGCGUGAGUGAAGAAGGUUUUCGGAUCGUAAAGCUCUGUUGUAAGAGAAGAACGAGGGUGAGAGUGGAAAGUUCACACUGUGACGGUAUCUUACCAGAAAGGGACGGCUAACUACGUG
rnacentral:rRNA from 1 species